rnacentral:lncRNA from 1 species
ACACGUGCAAAAAAUCUGGAAAAAACACCAUAAUAAACUAGAGGUCAAGAGGAGCAUUUCAUAAAAAAUCCCAUCAAAUUUGGAUUAAAAUUGAAGAACUUAUGAAUUUUCUAAGUUUGCCAAACCAAAUGAAAUAAUAAUUGAAAAAUGAAAUGAAAUGAUUAAACAUUAAAACACGGCCGUGGCAAAAAUGUAAAUAUGGGACUCACUAAGUGAAACGCCGCGUUUCACUUAGUGAGGUGGCACGCAGCUAUUCGCUUCAUGGGGCGGAAACGGGCAAAUCACAUGCAGACUUCACUUCCAAAGAUCAAACACGCAUAUGGCAUGGGAAAUUUAGGGUUCUAACGCGUUCAUCAUCAUUUUUUUCCAGCAAGAACAACUUGUGACCAAAAUCAACAAUCUAUAUACCAAUGUGUUCAUCUCACAGUGUACAUCAACAAUCCAAAGCUUAUUUUCACUAAUUCAAGCUAACAAGAAAGAAAUAAGCAAGAACACAUUUGACAACCAAACUUUAAUUCCAU